GCAGAGAUGUGGAAUCCAAUGUUGUCUUUUGUUCCAGUGGGGUGAAGGGUGGGCAGGCAGGCUGCUCUACGGAAAAGAAGCCUAAAACAAGUUCGGGAGAUUUGCUCAAGACUGAGAAGUAAAAAAACGAGCUGUGGGUCCUUAGGAUAUUAUUCCAAGAGAGCCGCUCCAGGUGAUGGGGGUGACAGGGCGGCUCAGGGAAUGCAGGUCUGGAGUAAGUGAAAUAAACACUAUGCAAGAGGGAAACACAAAGGAAAUCAAGAUGAAUUACUAAAAUAGAACUCCAGGAAAGCAAACAUUUUUGUCUGUUUCCCCACUGGCAAACUACUCCUAGCACCUGCAACAGUUCCUGGCAGAUAGCAAGCAGUGUGCAUUUAAUGACUGAAUGUGGAGUGUGCUAAUGACAUGAAGGAUGGAAGUUCAGCAGGUGCUGAUAAAUACAUGUGGAACUGAAUGCUCAGUGAGCAGCAGGACGUACAAAGACUGAGAAUUAAGAAAGUAGAGCUCGCAAGAGAAGACUCCCAAGUCCCUCUAUGGAAAUGAUGGAGUCCUAAAAACAUGGAAUUGCUGCUUUGAAGGUGAUAUACACUCAUAGCAGAUUGAAGUUUGGGAAAUGUAGAGAAGACUCUGUGCCAUUCACAGCGCACUGUGAUGACUCCAGCUGGCACUCUGUUUCAGGAGUGCUAUCAAAACUAGUUGUUGUUGUUGUUCAUUUGUUUGUUUCAAGUGUGAAUUUCGGAACAUGAAAAUAGAAAAUACAAAACUA